GCCUCGAUUGUGUAGUGUUGGAGCGCGCGUCCCCGAAGGGUAGGAUGAAACGUAGGUUCGAUUCCCGCCUGAGGCU